AUGGGCAAGGGGCAAGAAAAGGGGAAGAAACAGGACGGCUACUGCUCUGCCCGGAUUUAGCCAGCAGAGGCAGCAGAGAGGCCCCGUCCUGCUGUAGGGAAGUCUGCCAUCCAGACUAGGUCUGAGCUCACCGCCUGGGUCACAGUUAUGCUGUCCAGGACUCUGCUGCUCUUCCUUGGUGUGCUGUUGCUGCUUUCCCAAGCUGACGGAGGGGUCCAGCGAAGGCAGAGAUAUGAAGCACCAGUUCGCACGGAGAUCAAGGAGUGUGAGGGGAAGCCCAAACGGUAUCUGUGCAGCCGCCAUUGUGAAGCCCACCAAGACUGCCAAGCAAAUAACAUCUGCUGCUCCGCUGCAUGUGGCAAUGUUUGCGUGAACCUGUUGGAUAAAGACAUAUGGGAGAUGCCUGUCACCCCUCCCUCUGACUAUGUCUACCCAGAGAGUGGGUCCCAGUCCAGCUUUGAAGGAGAUAUGAUUCUGCCUGGAACUGCUGUUACUAAAUAAACAAGCACCUGCCUCCUUCA